AUUGAACGCUGGCGGCAGGCCUAACACAUGCAAGUCGAGCGGGGUUUUCGGACCUAGCGGCGGACGGGUGAGUAAUGCGUAGGAAGCUACCCGAUAGAGGGGGAUACCAGUUGGAAACGACUGUUAAUACCGCAUAAUGUCUACGGACCAAAGUGUGGGACCUUCGGGCCACAUGCUAUCGGAUGCGCCUACGUGGGAUUAGCUAGUUGGUGAGGUAAUGGCUCACCAAGGCGACGAUCUCUAGCUGGUUUGAGGGGAUGAUCAGCCACACUGGAACUGGGACACGGUCCAGACUCCUACGGGAGGCAGCGGUGGGGAAUAUUGGACAAUGGGCGCAAGCCUGAUCCAGCCAUGCCGCGUGUGUGAAGAAGGCCUUCGGGUUGUAAAGCACUUUCAGCGAGGAGGAAGGGUUGUGUGUUAAUAGUACACAGCCUUGACGUUACUCGCAGAAGAAGCACCGGCUAACUCUGUGCCAGCAGCCGCAGUAAGAC
rnacentral:rRNA from 1 species